UUUAUUAAAGGGCCGCGGUAUUUUGACCGUGCAAAGGUAGCAUAAUCAUUAGUCUUUUAAUUGAAGGCUGGUAUGAAUGGUUUGACGAGAUAUAAGCUGUCUCUGUAUAAUGAUAUAUAAUUUAACUUUUGAGUCAAAAGGCUUAAAUAAAUAUAAAAGACGAGAAGACCCUAUAGAGCUUUAUAUAUAAUUGUACUUGUAUUAUUUGGAGGUAUUGUAAAUAAGUAUGAAUUAUAUGUUUUGUUGGGGUGACAUGAAGAUAUAAUAAACUCUUUAUUAUUAAAACAUUGAUUUAUGAUUAAUUGAUCCAUUAUUAAUGAUUACAAGAUAAAGUUACCUUAGGGAUAACAGCGUAAUUUUUUUUGAGAGUUCUUAUCGACAAGAAAGAUUGCGACCUCG
rnacentral:rRNA from 1 species